CAACUGUGUCUGGUGCACUUCAGUUUUCUUUGGUAGUCUCCCAUUCAAGUAGUGUUCUGCAAUGAGUCCUGUAUCUUAGAUCUGACGUAAUCACAGCUCUAAGCAGUAUGGAAAGCAGUGGACCUUAAUUCCUAGAGCUGAUUUUCAAGAUCGUUGGCCUCCAAAGCGGAAAGACAGUGUGAAAAGUUAGUCGAGAUGAGGAGGGCAAACCCGGCCCUGUUGAAGUGAAUGGGAGUUCUGCCAUUGACUUCAGUGGGGGGCCAGGGUUUCAUCCCUGGUAAGUGCAUGAGCCCUCCUUUUGUUUUUGGUUUGAGCUUGUAAGAGUGAAGGGUCUCAAGAACAGAGGUUCAAGAUUUACUCCUUUCAUGUUAGGUAUGGCAACCUCUGUUUACAGCAGCCUUGAAGAUCUUCCAUUUCUCCCCCACAGAAGUGCAUUUGUUAGCUUAUCAUGGGAGGGAUAUACUAAUUCCCAGUCAGGAACAUCCUUCAACACAGAGAUCCCAGCUGAGAUGAAGCACGUAAGGGAAGAGAGUCAAAUGCCUGAAGAACCCAGGACAGAGAGGCAGAGAUCAGAGAUGCACAGAGACUCAAGGGAAGUGGUGUGGUAGGAGCAAAGCUGAUUUGGGCUUGAUUCUACUCUAAGUUUAAAGCCGCAUUAACUUCAGAGGUCAGUGUAGUUAGACCAAUGUAAAACCAGGUCGGUUUCGAUGAGGUCUCUUGGUCAGUGACAAACUCCAGAACCCUAUCUGCCAACAAG